rnacentral:RNase_P_RNA from 2 species
GGUAGAGAGAGCCCGGCUCCCGCGCGUCACAGCCGUGACCGUGAGGAAAGUCCCCCCACCGAUCGGGCGGGCGACCGGGGGCAACCCCGGGGCGGGAGACCGCCGGCGCUGGAACAGACACGACACGUCUCCGCGCGACCGAUGAGGUGCGCGCCUCCGAAGCGAGCAAGUCGCGGUGCGUCCGUGGGGUGACCCGCGGGCGGCCGUCGGCGAUUCAAGCGACGGACUGCUGACCCACCGAGGGGCGACCGCGGAGGACCGAUGGAACGGCGAACCCUCGCCGGUGCAAGUCGACGGCCCGAUGGUAGCCCGAUCUCCCGCGAGGGCGGUCGUCGACGCCGAGCCGAAUGCCGGACGAACAGAAGGGGGCUUACUCCUCUCUGCC